UACGGGGGGGUCAAGCGUUGUUCGGAAUUACUGGGCGUAAAGGGCUCGUAGGCGGCCAACUAAGUCAGACGUGAAAUCCCUCGGCUUAACCGGGGAACUGCGUCUGAUACUGGAUGGCUUGAGUUUGGGAGAGGGAUGCGGAAUUCCAGGUGUAGCGGUGAAAUGCGUAGAUAUCUGGAGGAACACCGGUGGCGAAGGCGGCAUCCUGGACCAACACUGACGCUGAGUGAGCGAAAGCCAGGGGAGCAAACGGG
rnacentral:rRNA from 1 species